rnacentral:lncRNA from 10 species
ACUGCAAAUCCUGAGAAUAUAUUCACUAGAUUUUCAAUAAUACUCUGGCAAUAAAAUUUUAUAAUGCUGUUUACCAUUCGAUUAUUCUUAGUGUCGGAUGGGAGAGGAAUUAUUACUUUAAUUAUUAAUUAUUAGAAGCCUGUGCUAUUUGGAGGACAGAAAUGUGGGAUAUUUUUAUACUAUACAACAUUUCCUAUAUCUUCUGACUCUGUAUCCAGGCCUGAUGACAGAGGGCUCACCAAGAAUUGCAAGUUUCCAAGUGUCUCAACUUCCCAUUUCCACAUGUCCUCAAAACUCUGCCUCUGCAACAAAGGGUUAGACAAAAUAGUUUGCAUUCUAGUAGACUGAAUCUUUCUUUGCUAUUUACAAGGAUGGGGCAAAUUUCACUUUACUAAGUACAGAAGUGAACUUCGGGAAGUGUCACGUUGAGAGAAAAAUGUAUCCUUUUGGCUAAGUGAAUGAGAUUUACUCUCAGAGACAGAUAAGAUAUGAAUUUUUAUUUUUCCACUUAGUUAAAAACUUGAGCAUUGCACAAAUCAAUAAUUCCGUCACUAAAUGCAUCAACCCAUAAUGUAACCCAUAACUGUAAGUCCCUGGUAACAUGAAAUAAUCAUAUUACAUAAUCAUAUGUGUCCUAAGGCGUCACUAUGUGUAGUGCAAAGCAGGCAUAUUGUAAUGGCUAAUUUUAUGUGUCAACUUGGCUGGGCAUGGUGCCCAGUGAUGUGGUCAAACAUUCUAGACAGUUCUGUGAGGGUGUUUUUGAAUGAGAUUAACAUUGAAAUCAGUGGGAUUUGAGUAAAGUGGAUUGCUUUCCACAAUGUAGGUAGACCUCCUGCAAUCAACUGAAGGCCUGAAUAAAACAAAAGACUGGCCUCCUCCCAAGCAAGAGUGAAAAUUUGACAUAUCCCCAGACUGGACUGAGUGAGCUGCUUUAGGAAGCUGUAUGUUUUUGGAAUUUAAUUCAAAUUUAAAUGAGGUUUCCUGCAUGUUUGGACAUUAUACCUCAGAGCCGUGGGUGCCAGAGCCCUGUCCUAUGAAUGUGUCUCUUCUGAAAAUUGCUCUAGGGAUUGGUUUUACUGAUUGGACAAAAAAUAUUUUGAACCAAUUAUAACAAAAUAGCUCAUUUCUCUUUUAUAUACAUCAUGCAAUGUCUUCACAAUCAGAUUAUGAGAUCUCUAAUUACAGAAGAGGAUUUUUAUAUUUCCUACUAGCAAACAUUUGUCCACAAAAGUUAUGAAAAACAGCUGUUAUCUGGAAUGUGGCUUGAAAUAUAUCCUGUUACUCUAAAAUGGUAUUGAUAUGAUUUAUAGUUGUCCUAUUGCAGCGAUUUUAUAAGAACUCAAUCCACAGCUCUUCUAACAUGUCUUGACAGCUUUAUUGAGAUACAAUUUACACAUUAAAAAACUGCAUGCAUUUAAUAUGUACAAUUUGAAUAUUUUUGGCAUAUCUAUGCCCAUAGGAAUUUAUCAUCUACAACCAAGAAAAUCAACAUCUCCAUCAGUCCCCUAAAUUUUCUUCUGUCCCUAUGUAAUCCCUCUUCCUACCUGCCAUCACUAGGUGGUAUGGGCUAAAUUGUGCACUGCCCAUCCCCUCCCCUCCCAUUUUAUAUGUUGAAGUCCUAAUCCCUAGCACCUCAAAACAUGACUGUGUUUGGAAACAGGCCUUCAAAGAGGUGAUUAAGCUACAACAAGGCUGUUAGGAUGAACCCUAAUCUGAUCUGACUGGUGUUCCUAUAAGAAAAGAAAAUUAAGACACACAAAGAGAUACCAGGGUAUAUUUACACAUAGAGGAGACCGCGUGAGGUACAAAGAGAGAAGGCAGCCAUCUGCAAGCUAACAAAAGAAAUCUCAGAAUGAAAUCAACCCACCAACACCUGAUUUCAGACUUCUAGCUUCUGAAACUGAGAGAAAAUAUCUGUUGUUUAAACCAUCAGUCUGUGGUACUUUCUUAGAGCAGCCCUAGCAAACUAUCAUACCAGGCAACCACUGACUAGCCUUCUGUCACUAUAGAUUAGAUUGUAUUUUCUGGAAUUUUAUAUAAAUGUACUCUUUUGGUCUGGCUUGUUUCAUUCAGUAUAAGUUAUUUGAGAUCCAUCCAUGUUGGGUUGUAUCAAUAAUUCAUUCCUUUUUAUUAUUAAUAUUUUGUUGAAUGGAUAUACCACAGUUUAUUCAUCCAUUUAUUUGUUACUGGACAUUUAGGUUGUUUUCUGGUUGAACUGUUACAAAUCAAGCUUCUAUGGACAUUUAUUUACAAGUCUUUUAUGAAUAUGUGCUUUCUUUGAUCUUGGGUAAAUAUCCAAGGUUGGAAUGGCUGGGUCAUAUGAUAGGAGUAUGCUAACCUCUUUAAGAAACUGCUAAACUAUUUUCCAAAAAUUGUACCAUUUUACAUUCCCACCAGCAGUCUUUGAGAGCUCCAGUUGCUCCGUAUCUUUGCCUAAAACUAGUAUGGUCCAUCUUUUUUAAUGUAAUUGUUCUAAUAGGUAUAUAACAGUAUGCUAUUGUGCUUUUUAAAUUUGCAUUGUAUUAUGACAGUGGUAUUGAUGAUCAUCUUUUCAUUGCUUAUUUACCGAAGUACAUCUUUUUUGGUAAAGUGUUUACAUUUUUGCAUUCUUUUUUGAGUUGUUUUUUUAUUACUGAGUUUUGCAGUUUUUAAGUAUAUUCUGAACCCAAGUUCUUAAUCAAAUAAAUGACUUGAAAAUAUACUCAGUCUUUUUAUUCUCUCACUAGAGUCUUUUACAGAAUAGACAUUUUUCAUUUUAAUUAAGUCUAUUUAUCAAUUUAUUAUUUUAUGGAUCAUUUGGUAUUGCAUUUGGAAAAAUCUUUGCCUAACCGAAGGUCAAAAUUCUUCUCUUACAUUUUCUUCUAGAAUUUUUAAAGUUUUAAGAUUUGAAUUUAGGUUUCUAAUCCAUUUUGAAUUGGCGUUUUUGUACUACAUUUUUUUUCCUUCACCUCUAUAUGUAGAAUCAAUUAAGGUAAUAAUAGUUUCUAUCUGAAAUGUCCUGCUAACACACUUACCUAUUUCAAUACUCAUUCUACCUUCCCGUCUCCCUGCAUUUUGUUUUUUUUUUUUACAUCCUUUCACCCAGGCUUUAGCUCCCAUCUCCUUCUAAGUCCUCACGCCCUUGCUGUGUCUAUGAUACUAAUGUGAUUCAGACCAUUUCUCUCCCAGUUUCUUUCCUUCAUAUAUAUGCAAUUUUAAGUCUUUCUUAUUUAAAAUAAUAAUAAUAAUAAUAAUAAUGCUUUUUGAAGCUGCAUAGCUUUCUAACUACAUAACAUUAACUUGCUUUGUUCUUUUCCUAUAAAACUAUUCUCUUGAAAGAAUUAUAUAUUCUCUCAUUUCUCUCUCUUCCAACCAACACUGCCAGGUUUCUGGCCCAGUCAUCGCACUGACACUAUUCUUACCAUCAACACUUGUGAUUUCCCUUUGCCACUUAUACAGAUCCCAUUUCAGCAUUCAUCACACAGGUCUCCCUGGGAGGCAUUUACACUGUGGAUCUCUGUAACUGGAAGGCAUUUCCAAAGCUUGUCUGAGUCUUCCACAUUGUCUCUCCUCUUUCUCUCUGUUACUUGAGACAUGUUUUCUCCAUAUUUUCUCUUCUCAUUCUAUACAUUCCACUGGUGACCACACAUAAAAUCAAGGAAUCAAAUGCCACCUUUGAAAAAUGAAUCUCCUAAGUAGAUUUCUGGUCCAGACUUAUUUACCCAGACCAUCAACUUUCUGUUGUAUAUUUCCAAUAGCAAUGUCAAGUGCAAUACGUGACAAACAUAAUGCCAUUCUUCUUUCACCUAAACACAGGGGUCUUUCAUACUUCCUGUGGGGGUAGACGGCACAUCAUUAACCCUGUCACCUAACCACUGUCCCCUCCAUUCCCAAUGAAAAAUAACCCAGAUAUUUCAGUUACAUCUCCUACAUAUGUCUCCAAUCUAUGCUUUCUCUUCAUAUCCACUGCUUCUCUCCUUAGUAUAUCUCAUCUAAAAUUCUGGAAUAGACUUCAGAUGGACCUGCAGAUUCUAAUUCUUACCCUCUCAACAUUCGACUUGUAUAUUGAUGCAUGAGUAAAGUUUCUGAAACACAAAUAUGUUUAGGGGAAUCCCAUGUAGAUCAUAUAUUUAGGCAACUCUAAUACAGAAAAAAUUGAACCCAUUCUCAUGUAACAUUCAGAUUGUUGUCUUUCUCUCACAUCUCAUCACUAACAACUGCUCUACACAAAAUCUGAGAUCUAGCAAUAGCUAGCUUCAUAUAGUUUCCUGAGCAUGGAAUAUUGAUACAACUUCCAGGCCUCAGAUGAGUGGACAAAAUUAAACUCACAAGGCAGUAAUGGCAUUCAAUCCCUGAAAAUUUCGCUGCUCUUUCUAAAAAGGUAAAAUAUAUUCUGCCUAUUAUAAAGUAAAUGCUGACCUUCCUAUUUUGUUUCUUUUCCUUUACGCUAAUGGAAAAUAACUUUAUGAUUUAAAAUAUAAUUUAUUGUACUUAUAAUAAUUUGUUUUGACUUGAUGGUUAAUGCUUGGGCAUAACUUAAAAUUAGAAUAAAAUGUAUAAAUGUAAAAGAAUCAUUUAUGUACUAUAAAUCAUUGAUAUGAUAUUCUCAAAGUACUUUGUGAAAAGCACAUUAAGAAGUAUGGAUCCUAAUGCAUAGGUAAGAAAACACAGAGAUAGGUUAAAGAGCUAAAAUAUCAUAAAUCCCAACCUGUCUUACUUCCCAUUAUUUUUAUCUGCCUGAUAUUAAAGAUCCUUCUUAUCAUAAAAUUAUCUGCAAGGAAAUGAAACAUUGAGUUCAGUACUGAUGAGUCUUGAAAAAAAGAAACAGAAUAAAAAUUCACACACUAUCUUUUCCAUUUCACUUAGUGUCCUGAAGCCAAACAGGAGUAUUCCCUAGAAUUACUUGUAAAAACAUUAGAACAGGGUGCAAACCUGGAUUCUACUGCUUGCUAGUUGUGUGACUUUAGGCAGAUCAUUCACCUCUGACUAUAAACUCACUUAAGAAGGGCCACAGUAAGAGCUAGUCCUCUUUAGUAAAAGAAUUUAAUGAAAUAUAUGUGUGAAUCAGAAUAGGCUGGGCUAUGGAUUAAAGCUGUAAGUUUUAUUUCCCUCUCAUGCUCCAGAUCUGUCUUGGCUGGGCAGCUGAGGUUUCAGCUUCAUAUUACCUUCUCUUCAUGACACAGCCUCACAUACCAUCCACAUCUACAAUGCUGCCACUCUGCCAAGAAGGAAAUGAGAACAUGGUGUGUUGUAUGUUGACUUUUAAAGCUUCCACAUAGAAGUAACACAUGUCACUUCUGCUCAUAUUUCAUUGAUCAUAUUUCAGGAGGAAGGAGAAUUAUAUUCCUACCAUGUGCUCCAGGAUAUAUCCAGAAACAUUUAUCUGUAUCAAUGUUUAUAUUAAUAUUUCAUUUUGGCACACUCAACGGUAGUGAAUGGAUAAUAAUAGCUCACUGUACUGAGGGCUUACUCUGUUCAGGGCACUUUGGUAAGGGCUUUGCUUCCAUGAUUUGAUUUAAUUUAAUUCUCAUAUUGGCCCAUAAGGCAAGUGACUUGAUCUGCCAGACAUUAUUUGUCCUUCUAAUAUUCAUUUCUCUGUUUGUUUGCUUUUUUUUAUGACUAACAGAACUGAGAUUUCAUUUGAGAUGACCGUGUUUAAACCUCACAUUGUUCUUAAAGCUGUAGAGAAGGAGGUGAAAAACUUCUGGCCAAACUAUGGGCUGAAAAUCUCAUGAGGGUAUGGCCAUGCCUGUCUUGAUUACUCUAUGCUUCUCGAAUUUAACAGAGGAUCUGCUCAAAAUAUAUUAAUUGGUGAGAAGAAUGUUAAAUAUCAUUCUUCUUGGAAAAAGGGGCAGAAAACUUAAGAAAAAAAGCAUCACUUUGAAUUCAGCAGAGCAACUUGUAUUCAUUCUUUACUUUGUAACAGUGUGAACAUUACAAGAGACAAAACUAAGUUUAAAGAUAUAAAAAUAGUUUCUCUCUACUUAUAGAUUUUUUUAAAUUAUUGAUCUUGUGUUAUUGUGUGUUCCUAGUCUCAGAAAGUAAUGAAAAUAAUAGUAAAUAUUAACCUUCAGAAAUUGAUUUUUUUCUGGAUUGAGAGUAGAUCAACCUAUUUGAUAACAUUGUGUUGAUGAUAAAUAGCUUCUAAAAGUUGAGUGGUUUAGCAAAAUAAAAGUUAUUGAACAUUUGCUCAUGUCACAAUCUUGUAUGUGUCUUAUUCAGUAGAAUGGACUUCCUCCCUGAAGUAAUCCUGGGAUCUAGGUUCCUUCCAUAUCUGGUUGUGCUAUCUCCUUGGCCUCAUCUCCAUCUGUAACUAUGUGGCACAGAAAAAGUAUGAGGGAGAUUGUGUCACAGUACUUUAUGGUCCAAACAGGUAAAGUUUCAUAUUACUAGCACAAAGACUCACUAGUAAGAAC